rnacentral:misc_RNA from 1 species
GAUGAAGAACGGUAGCGAAAUGCGAUAAGUAAUGUGAAUUGCAGAAUUCAGUGAAUCAUCGAAUCUUUGAACGCACAUUGCGCCCUUUGGCAUUCCGAAGGGCACACCUGUCCGAGCGCCGUCGCACAACUGAGGCGCAGCCUUGCGUUGGCGGGCGACUUGUGAGUAGCGAGUCGCCGCCCAAACGAGACGGCGCCGCGCCGCGGCCGACGAAGCACGAAAGCGGAAGUCGACGCGGAGGCGGUUGCCUGUAGGAAGACACAGCUUGGCCUCGGAUCAGGUGGGGAUACCCGCUGAACUUAAGCAUAUCAAUAAGCGGAGGA